rnacentral:rRNA from 1 species
CCUACGGGACGCAGCAGUGGGGAAUCUUCCGCAAUGGACGAAAGUCUGACGGAGCAACGCCGCGUGAACGAAGAAGGUCUUCGGAUUGUAAAGUUCUGUGAUUCGGGACGAAAGGGUUUGUGGUGAAUAAUCAUAGACAUUGACGGUACCGAAAGAGCAAGCCACGGCUAACUACGUGCCAGCAGCCGCGGUAAUACGUAGGUGGCAAGCGUUGUCCGGAAUUAUUGGGCGUAAAGCGCGCGCAGGCGGUUUCUUAAGUCCAUCUUAAAAGCGUGGGGCUCAACCCCAUGAGGGGAUGGAAACUGGGAAGCUGGAGUAUCGGAGAGGAAAGUGGAAUUCCUAGUGUAGCGGUGAAAUGCGUAGAGAUUAGGAAGAACACCGGUGGCGAAGGCGACUUUCUAGACGAAAACUGACGCUGAGGCGCGAAAGCGUGGGGAGCAAACAGGAUUAGAUACCCUCGUAGUC